rnacentral:sRNA from 1 species
UUAUAUCUCUCUUUGAGAAGAAGGCUAAGGAAUUCUGGGUAAUCUCUCUAGUGGAUGCUUGUGGUAUCCCUUGUAGUUAUGGUUCCCGUCACCAUGGCUACCAGUUUAGACGGAGGAAAGACUCACUUGACUCACACUUGCGAAGGUUGACUACAUCAUCAAUGGGAUUCUGUUGAGGGAAGUCGUGGUGUGAAGAGCUCAGUGGGUCAAGCUGUUCGUUAUCUCUUUCGGAAGCAUGGUCCUGGUGAUGUGGCUUCCUGCUACUUAGCGCCACAUUUCCCCGGAAAUGAAGCCCCAACUCCUCAAUACACAGUUAAAACAAGUGAGAAUGAACACAUUUGCCUUUCGGCAUGGUUGGGAAACAUCUGGUCCGGACCGGAUGAUACUUGGGCUCCCGUAGGACACAAGAGAAAGAAAAAGAGAAAACCCACAAGCUGCCUGCAAGGUGAAACAUCCGGCAGUUCGGAGCGAAGAUCUGAAUUCCUGGCAGUAUGUCCCUGCAGCCAAGCUCAGUGUCUGCCGUGAAUUAUCUGCUCAGUGACAGUUGAACAAACUGAUAAAUGGAUGCAGCAUUAAA